rnacentral:rRNA from 1 species
AGUGAACGCUGGCGGUAGGCCUAACACAUGCAAGUCGAACGGCAGCACAGUAAGAGCUUGCUCUUACGGGUGGCGAGUGGCGGACGGGUGAGGAAUACAUCGGAAUCUACUUUUUCGUGGGGGAUAACGUAGGGAAACUUACGCUAAUACCGCAUACGACCUACGGGUGAAAGCAGGGGAUCUUCGGACCUUGCGCGAUUGAAUGAGCCGAUGUCGGAUUAGCUAGUUGGCGGGGUAAAGGCCCACCAAGGCGACGAUCCGUAGCUGGUCUGAGAGGAUGAUCAGCCACACUGGAACUGAGACACGGUCCAGACUCCUACGGGAGGCAGCAGUGGGGAAUAUUGGACAAUGGGCGCAAGCCUGAUCCAGCCAUACCGCGUGGGUGAAGAAGGCCUUCGGGUUGUAAAGCCCUUUUGUUGGGAAAGAAAUCCAGCCGGCUAAUACCUGGUUGGGAUGACGGUACCCAAAGAAUAAGCACCGGCUAACUUCGUGC